CAAGUUAACUCAGAGACACAGACUGAUGCGACAAAACCAGAGUCCAAGCUGAAGGGAAACACAACUCAACAGAGUCUGAUGAUGUCAGAUUGGUGGAAGGACCCAGUUUGUGUGCUGGUACAUUGGAGGUGAAACAUCUGGGAGAGUGGAGACCAGUGAAUGUCAUUGACUGGACCCUGAAGGAAG